UCCCUGGUGGCUCAGAGGUAAAGCGUCUGCCUGCAGUCCAGGAGACCCAGGUUUGAUCCCUGGGUCGGGAA
rnacentral:tRNA from 1 species